UCCCUGGAGGACCAGUGGUUAGGCCACAGCGCUCUCACUGCUGCGGCAUGGGUUUGAUUCCCGACCAGGGAG
rnacentral:tRNA from 1 species